AGUGGUGGGAUUUGCUGAGUGAUGAGGUUGCGCGCAUCCCGAAGGGAGAUGGCACCACCGGGCCAGACUCCUCCCUCUGCGCUUUCCAAGAAGCAGAACUGCCAGUGUGGCAGCCAUCCUCACACACACUGUCCACCUACGGGGAGGACUGGGGAGGCAAGAAGUGGGGGGAGCCCUUGGCUUUACAGGAGCGCAGUGUGCACAGGUGCAGUGACUGCCACCUCCCAUCGCGCCUGAAGCAGAGUGAGGGUGUGCUCCAAAAGACCGCUCAGAAGUGCUGUUGAAACACCUGCAGGACGAGGAGACCGGCAUCUGGUGCCCCAGUUGGAAGCCUGCUGAGCUGCAGAGCCCGCAGACCCCCAACACCCCUGUCGGAGCAGAGCAAUCCUGGCCCCCUGGGGAAUGGUCCACACCAGGGGCGCUGGCCUUGCCCCUGCGGUGGUGAGAUGACCACCCAGCAGUCAGAGCUGCUGGAAGAAUCCGGGUGAGUGCAGAGCCUGGAUUGCCACCACACCUGCUCUUGUGCCAGGCCUGGGGUGCCUUGGCAGGGAGCUGACUGACACCCGCAGGAGGUACUAUUCUGUCGACUGAUUCUGGAGAGCCUCCUCUGCAGGGGAUCCUUCUGGGGGCAUCUCCGCGGAGCACAAAUAUCUUCUCGCUCUGCCCAUUUCAAGUGACUCAUCAGAAGACCCCUCCCCAAACCUCCAUGCCGCCAAUCACCCCAACUUGUUUCUGCCAAAUCAUCCUGCCUGGGCGCUCCACCUCACGAAGCCAUGUAGAUCCGUGUUCCAGGCCUGGACAGGACAUCUGGUGUGCUUAGCACUUCCCGGAGACCUGAUCCGAUGAGGACAAUACCGUACAGCUGAGGUUUGGCGGGACAUCAGUAUGACCGAGGCCCCUGGGACCCUGUGACAGAAGCUGGGGGUUAGCGCCAUCGUGGGAAGAUCACCAGGAUGUCCUGACACCCCUGCCAGGUAGAGGCACGCUGGUUCCGGUCCUCACCCUAUGGACUGCUUUAUCUGUAUCCUUUAAAAGGAAAAGGUAAACGUAAGUAAAUGUUUCCCUGGGUUUUGCGAGCCAUUCUAGCAAACUGUCGAACCCGAGGAGAGGAUCAGGAGAACCCCGAUUAAUAGGCUCUCGGUCAGAAGCUCAGGUGACAGCCUGGACUUACAAUUGGCAUCUCAGGUGGGGUCCUCCACCUGUGGGGUCUGGGGCUAUUGCCCGGUACAUAGUGUCAGAAUUGAGUUAAGUUUGUAGGACCCCCAGCCUGUUCUCUCAGAAUCAGAGAACGCCUUGAUGUGGGAAACCACCCCCCGCCUACAUCUGGUGUCAGAAGUACUGAGAAGAGAAAAAUACAGCUUCCUUUACCCUGGCUUAUUAGCUCCUGCUCCACAGAUCAGGGAGCCAGAAAGGAGACCAGGCCAGUGGCCAAGUGAGCUGACCUCAGUCCAUGCAGAAGUGGGGAAAUGCCCCAGGACUGGUCCCCGCUGAGACAGACUUGCACCGAACUCCUUUGUCACUUACCUCCGUCAGCCUCCACUCUGACUCGGUGGCCCUUGGAAGCCCCAGGGGUUGGUGUCAAUUCAGAGCCGGUGGUGACAAUGCCCGGAGGGUGUGGCUGUUUCCUCCUCCUCACAGUCCCCCCUGGGUGGCCACAGUCCCCUGGGGAAGGCUUGGAGAAAGACUGACAGUAGACACGUGUGACCUGCAGUGGCACCCUUCCUCAGAGGGACCCAGCCUCCCCUCCCAUUAAGGGGCUUGGGGUCCGGGACCUGGCUCGGGCUGGGAACUGGGUGAGGGUCUUGGAUUCCCAGUCUGGUGACUGGAGUCGGCGUUCUGCUUUGACUAACCAAUCGAGCAAGCUGUUGGGGCUGCUCCCUGCUGCUCUGUUGCGGCAUCAACUCCAGAUCCUGCCUGAGGGCACCCCCCUGGGCAAAUGCAGCCCCCCAGUCUGGUGUUCCACCCGCCUGGCUCCUACCCCUGCAGACUCUGUUUUCACAGACAGAACGAUUCUGCAGGUUCCUGCCGAUACAGGUUAGCAAGCCCUGUUAUCUCCCCCAGGAGCACAUUUGAAUUGUCCCCUUGGCCGUGCAGCUGGCCUGGAAGCGACGACAGUGACAGUGGUUAGCCUGGAAAGCCAGGGUCCUCUUACAAGGGGACUGUCCCAGGUGGCGUUAUUCAAAGAUGGUCGCAUUUUCUCCAUCGAGGCAGCUCUUUCUUCUGGCAAAGGAGGCUAGGUGGGGAUAUGGGAGUUCAAGUUCCUUCAUGUGUGUCUGCACGUAUGUCCCCAUUUCUUCCCACCCAGUCCCCCCAAACUCUGCCUGAAGACUUGCUGAGGGCUGGCCUCUAACGUGCUCAGCAGCUCUGCAGCCUCACGACCCCGUCCGAGGCCAAGUCCUAGCCACGUCUUCCCUGGGGUUCAUGAGCUGAGGGACUCUUCCAGGACCACCAUAGUGCAGCCAGAAACCACCACACCACUGCAUCAUCUUUGUCGUCACCGUGGCACCGAGGCCAACUGCACUGGUCUCUCUACCUUGCCCCUCACUGGUUCUCUGCCCGCCUCUGGUGAUGACCUGAGUAGCUGUGGGCACCACAUGCCAUGGGGUCUCGGUGCCCCACGGUCCCCUCAUGGAGUCAGUGGGUUCUCACCAGCCCCAAGUUGCAUUUGGAAGGUCUGUUUCCUGGGGCCACUCCAGUGGCCAGUGCUGGGUCAGUCAGGAAGCCGGCUUCAGCCCAGCCAGUGCCAAUGCAGAAAUGGGACAGAAGGCACUGGUUGCAGAGGUGUGGGCAUGCCUCGGGGAGCAAAGGAGGGGUGGUGAGAUGGCGAGGCACCCAGAGGCCCUCCAAAGCAGAAGGCCAUUCCCAUCUUUCGAGCUGAAAGGACAGAGGUAGCGGAGAAUGUUUCCAGAGCCCAUGAAGAGCUGGGCCGUGCAGGAGGGCUGCCCGGGGGACUGUCGUCAACAUGGCAGGUGUGGCUGCUGCCAGAGACGUGGCACUAAAGCUGGGAGGGAGCUGGAGAAGCACUCAGCCGCCUAGGAAUCCCCUGCCCCAGGCAUGGGCUGAACCCAGCCAGAAGUCAGCUGGCGUGGGAGCCCACAUUGGUGCUGUCCCAAGCCGUCAGCCUCCUGGGGCACAGAGCAGGCAGAGGCUCCAAGGGCAGCAGCGAGGGGUUAAAGGGGGACCAGGAAAUGAGACCCCCCAGGUGGUCAGGCCGGUUGGAGGAUGCCAUCUUGGUGAAGAGCUUGAAGCCAGGAACUACUGGUGGGUCCAAGACAUGCAGCUGCCCCCUGGGGGUCUCAGCAAUGGAAGGGUUCAGCUGAAGCUGAGCAUUGUCCCGAGACAACCAUGGCCUCUGCUUCUGUAGGGACAUCAAAUUGUAGGGGCAACAAGACCAGCCAGAGCAGGAGCAGGGACAGGUCCACACAGCGUUGAUCCUUGCCUCCCCACCUCUCCUCCAUGCCCCCAACCGCGGAGGGCCAAGACCCAGGGAGGGAGGUCGAGGCUUGUCCCAGAGGGAGAUCCAUUCCUCUCCUUCUUGGCCCCACGUGCUGGAGCUAAUGAGUGAAUGAGACCCCACUGCCACCCCAAGUUAGACCCCUUGCGUCACAGGUGUGGCCAGAAGUGAGGGAUUAGCAGCGGAUGGGGGCUUAAGUUGGGUAUUUUAAACUGACUGGGCUGUGUUGAUACCUGAACGUUGUGGACCCUGCCUGAGCCUGAGAUGUAGUUACAGGAUGAAAAGGGGGCAUUGGACAGAGCACGAUGGGGUGCCUCAAAAGAAUAGGUCCAGGUGGGUGAUUGGAAAGAUUGAGGAUAGAAGGAUGGACGGAUGGAUGAUGGAAGGAUGGAUGGACAGAAGGAUGUUUGGAUGAUUGGAUGGAUCAAGAUUGAGUGGAUGGGGAUAAGGAUGGAUGAAUAGAUGGAUAUGUGGAUGGGGAUAAGGAUGGAUGCUGAGCGUGCCCCCCACGCCCCCUCCACCCCCUGUGUUGAGAGAGCCUGAGCACCUGGACGAAAGGGGCCUUUCCUUGCAGACACUGGGUUCCAUCCUGGGGAGCUGCGGAGCGAGAGUAUGGGGCUGGCCACUGUGGGGCUGGGGGAUGACUUGGGACCCCCGCCCAACUGUCCUAGUCUGCACAGCUUUCCAGAUGGACUAAACCCUUCACCCAGUAGCCCUCAUUUGGGAACUUUAAAGCGCUCAGUUUACCUCGCAGGGCCUGGGAGAGCCAUGGCCCACUCUCCUAGGGGCAGUGCCCACCCCACCUGAGCGCUCUCUGCACCCCAGGGCGUUCUCAGGAUCCUGGGCAGCUCUUACCAUCCCGGGAGCACUCUCAGCAUCCCCGGAGCUCUCAGCAACCUGAGGGGGUGCUCUUAGCAUCCCAGGGGCACUCUCAGCAUCCCAGGGGCACUUUCAGCAUCCCAGGGCACUCUCAGCGUCCCGGGGGCACUCUCAGCAUCCCCGGAGCUCUCAGCGUCCUGAGGAGGCACUCUCAGCAUCCCAGGGCACUCUCAGCGUCUCGGGGGCACUCUCAGCAUCCCAGGACACUCUCAGCGUCCGGAGGGCACUCCACGAGGCCGGCCAGCCUGGUUCCCGCGACCAGCGCGCCACCUGGCGGCGUCACCUCGCAAUAGCGCCCGCUCCGGGCUCCCCUCCUCCCGGGCUGCGCUGAGGGGCUUCUCCGUGGAAACCCCCACCGCCCUCGGAGCGCGGAAGCGAAGGAAAAUGCAGCCCUUUGACCACAGCUGACGCCGGUGGAAUCUGGGUCCCCGCCCUGCCGCGGGGUCUGGGGGAGCAGGCUCAGGCGGCGGUAGACCUGGGGCGCCCCUCUCCAUCCGCGCUGGGCAAGAGGGCCCCCCCCCCCCGAGAGCGCAGCGAGGGUCUGCGGGGGCGGGGGGCGCUCGGGGGGCGCUGGGAGG
ensembl:lncRNA